CUCUUGGCCCAGGCAAGGGAACUGCUUGAGCAGCUCCGUCUUCUGCCGCUUAUAGUUGUCGGUAGCCGAGCGCCAGUGGGGCUCCUCCAGCACCUCGAAGAUCGCCGCCCCAAUGGACAGGUAGAAGAUGAUGGCCGAGGUUCAGUGAAAUUCCUCGUUUUCGACGCCGAGAGGCUGUGAAAUUAUGUCUUUGGCUUUCUUGGAUGCGUGGAAGCAUGGGGGGAAGCUGAGCAGGAGCUUUGAGAAGAUGUCUGUCGGCAGAGCUUUGAGGAGAAAAGAUAUCUGUCGGCAGAUUUCACCCCUUCCCUGAGACGUCCACACGUGGGCAUUACAGUUCAUUGAGAGCAGAAACUGCAUCUCCAUUUCUUUCAUGCCUUUGGUACCCUCGAUAAAUAUUUCUAUGUCCCUGCCUAUGUGUUUGGAAACACCGGUAGUGAUUUUCCAUAAGAUGCUCAAAACAUUUUCCAAGCUGAAGCUCCCUUGAAGCUCACCCUGUUUGUGAAGCCUUCUCCAGGGGCUGCUUAUAGCCACGCACAAGCCCUUGCCCUUCUGUUUUCAAGUGGGGCUGGAAACGGGGUUAAAUGGGUCAGGGAGAUACAGUGAUGUGUUAUGCACACUGGCAAAGUGCUUCUGGUGUGGGCACGGUUCAUCUUACAAUCAUCACUUUUGUGAGGGCAACUUGUUCUGUUUCUCCUUCUGCCCCCACAACAGGAAGUAAACACUCAAAAAGUAGAGUGGUUCAUGUCAACUGCAUCAACACUAAGAGAUUUGGGGUGUAUAGGUACUCAGUUGGAGUACACAAACUAAAUGGCUGAGAUAAGCCCAUGCAGACAUAGUUGAAAUGGGAAGAGGGGGAAUGGAUGAGAAUAGGAAAGACAAAGGAGAAAGAUAGAAAAUAUGCGAGAGUGUGAGAAAAGAAAAAGGAGAGUACCUAUAAGGCAGAGGAACAUGUUUUGAUUAGAGAUACCUGUAUAAAACUGAGUCAGGCCCAAUGGAUACUCAUGUGAUAUUGCCCCCAGGAAAUCACAUGGUCCUUAAGCAGUCCUUCCACUAAUGUAUAUUAAAAAAUACAUCUGCAAGAGGUUCCUAGCAGCCUAAAAGCAGGACUGGAGAAAUCAUGAAAUCCACAAGCACAUUAAGUGAUCAGUCUUUGCAUGGGAUUUUGCAGUUAUUUAAAGGAAGCAUUAAAUAGAAAAAAGGAUUUUCAAACUGCAGUAUUUAAAAAAUAUAUAUAUACUAGAGGGAAUAGCAAGGAAAAAAGCAUCAUAAUAAACAUUUUUAAAAUGUCAUAAACUAUGCUAAUUUUUUUAGGGGAAAAAUGGAUGCUUCAUGAAGUUGAAAGGCUGUAAUUUCCUUUUAAUUAAAAGGUAAAGAAGAAUUUCAUGAUGCACAAUUACCACAUGAAAAUUAUUCCCAGGUGUUAUCACUUGGCCCAAGACCUUAGCAAAACUUGAAAGGCCAUUGGCCACAAAUUAAUAAUGGAAGCAUCUGUCAUUUGCUGAUUUAAAUAAAAAUUGUAUAUAAGUACUUAUGGCAAGUGACUGAAAGAAUUGAAGAACUUUCAGUAGGCAAAUUAUGAUAUAGUUUCCUUUUUGUGCUCUUGCACCUUCUUCUGAGUCACCUGCAAAUGGUUAGGUUAUUCCGACGGCAGCAGCAGUAGCCCAACACAUCACAGCAAUGCUGCACUUGUGUGUUCCUGACCCUGAACAUCUGUGCUUCGUAACUGAAAGGUAUUUGAUUAAAUUUUGAAACUGUACUCUCCUCCAUCUGUCUUUAAGUCUCUAAAGGCCCAUUUAUACAUUGAAACAGUAUCUUAAAGGCACAAAGAAUGACAUGAAUGACCCUGAACCCGCUGCAGUUGCAGAGCACAGACAAGAGCAAAAACACUUUCAGGCAUUUUACAGAAAGUUUGUUUGUGAUUUUGAUUCAACAUUUCUACUUUCCACUCUAAACUCCCAAUCACUGAUUGCAUAAUUAGUACUCUCAGUAACUGAGUCAGUCCAUAUUUAAAAACAAACAAGCCUGUAAAUCACAUAGCAUUUUUCCCUGUGUUGAAAUGCUAUUGCACUUGUUAGACUGUCUCCUUGUGUUUCUCUGGGUUUAAAAGAGGUGAGCCUGCUAAGGAGCAACAUCCAGAAGAAUAGUUUAUUCCCCAAGGAACCAUAACCAGCUACUCCUGUAAGUAGAGGUGAUCCAGUGAGUAUCAACAAACUUCAGGCACUUAGAUAUUUCACUUUGAUUCCAUUGUCUUUUGCAGAACAAAUUACAAGGUAUACUUUCAUGUUGCUGGCCAAGUAGUGUGGCAAGAAGGAAUGUUUUGUGUAGCUGGCCUCUCUUUGCACCUCCUGAUCUAAAAUGCUUCUCCUGACCUCAGAAAAGAUCCUAUAUCCUUUUAUUCAUGGCCCUUUUCUCCUCUUUGUUUCCCUUGGAUUAAACAGUACCCCUAUUGUCAACCCACAGCACCUGCCACAUAGGCCCCACAGCUUUUCAUGCUAGCUAAGUUAAUCAAAAGGCUGGGGUUUUUCACUCACAGGCUUUUAAAUCUCAUUAAAAAUCAAGGGAGAAACAGCAGAAAGCACUGUGGUGAGCAAUACCACACGUAUCAAUCAUUUGUUUUAUUUGCAUAGGACAUUAUUUCAGGCUGUCCAGUCCAAAAGGAAAUCUCUUUCAUCCAAGCUGUAAGUCUAAGACACAUUUGCUGUACAGAUGUUUCCUAGGACAGCCUGGAAUGAAUGAAUAAAUGUCAGAAAAUGUUUUAGAUGGAGCAAGUAAAAGACAUUAUUUGGCCAAAAGAAACCUGUCAUGUAGUGGCAAAGACUGCAUGUUAUACCGGGCAUGAACUAUGGGCCUCUCUUCAAGCGUCUGCCAUUUUUCACUUAGAAGCCUAUUUUUGGCUGGUUGAUGACUGUGCUCAAUGCCUGUCAACUCUGCAUCUUUCAUUUAUUUUUUAACUGUUGAAAUUUAGACACCUACAACGAUUCCUUCUAGUGUUUCACAUCCAGCCAUUCAUGGUUUAACUAAGUUGAGGGGUGCCCUGUCGUGACUGUCGUGAGCAGUUUUGCUUCCUUGAUGCAGUCCAGUGCACACAGAGAGGGUAAGGGUGGUCUGCAGAUGAUGCAGAAUUUUAUAUGAGUCAUUUGUGGAAAGUUCAAAAAUUCUCCAUGGGAUUGUUCAUACCUUUUGGCUUAAGUAUUUACAAAAGCACAUUUUAUGCUCUGAAUGUACAGUAACACGUAGUAAAUCAUAAUAAAAACCUUUACCAAAACAA